rnacentral:misc_RNA from 1 species
CAACAUUCUUCAGCAUCCUGCUGCAUGAAGGUACCAUUAUGCAAUUGGCCAAAUUGUGGAUACUUUUUCCGCAACACCAUCCAAAACUGCAUAGGUGCCACAGGCUUGACACUUUUAUCAAGCUCAUUAAACAGUUCUCGAGUUGCAGCUGUCAACAUAUGUGAUGUCUGAUCUAAAUCACUUCUCCUUUCGGACGGAUACUUAACUAAAGCAGACUUCAACUCUGGAACAGAAUGCAAACAUUGUAUUGUGGAGUUCAUGUAACAAGUGUUUCCCAGGUUAAAUAGACCAGCAGAAUGACCCACAGCAACUACUUGUUCUUCUUCCGGAAGAUCUUCCAUGAAAACAGGGCCCUUCUCUGGGGCCUUCACAAUCUCAUCUGCUGUUCCCAUCAUCAUCAAUUUUUGACCCUCCUUCACUCCUA